GGGCGAGUGGCGGAAUGGCAGACGCUGGGGACUUAAAAUCCCCUGAGGGGUAACCCUCGUGCGGGUUCGAAUCCCGCCUCGCCCA
rnacentral:tRNA from 1 species